CUCCGCUCCGCUCCAGAAAGAUGUCUGUGGGCAAGCUCCAGCAUAGAAGGGACUGGCUCUCCUUUUUGCAAGGAUCUUCCAGAGUGGACACCUGGCUGCAGCCUUCCAGAUGCAAAUCCAAAGGGAGCAUGUCUCUACUUCCAACCAAGCCUCACAGGAAUGUGUUUUAGUUUAAGCACUUUGAUGCUCUCAGGCUUUGCAAAGCCUUUCUCCAUAACAUCACUUAACAGACAAGCCUCUCUGGUCACCCCCCCUCCAUGUGCAGCCUUGCACAUCUCCUUAGUACAAGAAUGAAGUCAAAGGACUGCCAAAGCAGAGGAAAACAAGGCCAAGCACACACAGAUGGCAAGCCCACAAAUCGAAUUUAAAAUCAUCCUUUAUUAUUCAGAAUAUUAAAAUUCAGGCAAUAAUGCCCAAAGGAACUGUGCUGAUUAAAGCUCCCUAAUGUUUCAUGGCCAAAUCUUGCUGCUUCCUCCAAGGGUCACUGGGACAAGAAGUGAAACCCCUCUAGAAUGCAGAGAGAGGUAGGGCUGUACCUGCUGUAGAUCACUUAACCAAACAGUUACUUACUGACCCAAUCAGCUUCACUUAAAGCAAAGCACCAGCUGUUCCUUACCCAAUUAAUGACUGCCACAGCAAAUUAACAUGGUGUUACACCAGGCGUGGAUGUGGUCCGUAGAGUCCAGAAUGCACAGAGCAAUAUGCUGUUGCAAAAAUAAUCACAGUAAUAUCUUUACUGUUAGGUAGCAUCCUUCAUCUGGAGAGAUGGUGAGCUCCCAGUGUGCUACAUGACUUGCUUCAUGCAACAUGCUCUGCAGUGAGGGUAGAGAGGGCAGGAAGAGUUGGAGGCGUAUGAUUGCUAUUUCAAGGGGACAGUAGAGAGGAACUGGUCAGGGCAGCUCUGCUGUGGCAUAGACAGCACUGACCACACAUGUCUGACUUCUGGUUCCUGCAAUCCAAACACAUCAUUAUUUAUAGUAUAUUUAUAGUAAAUCUGCUCAAAGUGUGCCUUCUCCCUGUCCCAUACACCACAGAGCUUUCCAAUGCCUGUCUUCUUGCUGUGUGAUGUGUGAUUCCUACAGAUGCAGGAAUCCAGGUGAGGUUCAUGUGGAAAACUGUUACCUCAGUGCUGCCAGAGCAAGCACUACUCUCCAGGUCCUUUCCUUGGUCUCUUCAUUCUGUGGUGGAGACUUUUGCCCUAGCUCUCUGCAAUUGUCAUUCAUUGUAGGGUCUCAGUGGCAGUACAGCAGAAUAACGAAGCCAUUCUCUUCUUUUUCCAAGGUUAAGUCCAGCACCUAAACACCCAUUUGACUCCAUUUAGUUCAUGCUUUUUAUGACCUACAGACAUUAAUCCCCUAUAAGUUACAGCCCAAACAGAUCAAUCAGCCUAGAGGGCUCUGGGAAAGUGGUGUCUCGUGCUAGAGCAUUACAGUCUUUUCCUACAAUUAGACCAGCAUCAGAUAUUAUUGACAAAUAAACUGUGCAAUCAAA